GCCCAGGUAGCUCAGUUGGUAGAGCAGGGGAUUGAAAAUCCCCGUGUCGGUGGUUCGAUUCCGCCCCUGGGCACCA
rnacentral:tRNA from 1 species